rnacentral:rRNA from 1 species
GAUGAACGCUGGCGGCGUGCCUAAUACAUGCAAGUCGAGCGAACAGAUGAGGAGCUUGCUCCUCUGACGUUAGCGGCGGACGGGUGAGUAACACGUGGAUAACCUACCUAUAAGACUGGGAUAACUUCGGGAAACCGGAGCUAAUACCGGAUAAUAUAUUGAACCGCAUGGUUCAAUAGUGAAAGACGGUUUUGCUGUCACUUAUAGAUGGAUCCGCGCCGCAUUAGCUAGUUGGUAAGGUAACGGCUUACCAAGGCAACGAUGCGUAGCCGACCUGAGAGGGUGAUCGGCCACACUGGAACUGAGAAACGGUCCAGACUCCUACGGGAGGCAGCAGUAGGGAAUCUUCCGCAAUGGGCGAAAGCCUGACGGAGCAACGCCGCGUGGGUGAUGAAGGUCUUCGGAUCGUAAAACUCUGUUAUUAGGGAAGAACAAAUGUGUAAGUAACUAUGCACGUCUUGACGGUACCUAAUCAGAAAGCCACGGCUAACUACGUG